GUGGUGAGAGCGGCGGACGGGUGAGUAAUGCCUAGGAAUCUGCCUGGUAGUGGGGGAUAACGUUCGGAAACGGACGCUAAUACCGCAUACGUCCUACGGGAGAAAGCAGGGGACCUUCGGGCCUUGCGCUAUCAGAUGAGCCUAGGUCGGAUUAGCUAGUUGGUGAGGUAAUGGCUCACCAAGGCGACGAUCCGUAACUGGUCUGAGAGGAUGAUCAGUCACACUGGAACUGAGACACGGUCCAGACUCCUACGGGAGGCAGCAGUGGGGAAUAUUGGACAAUGGGCGAAAGCCUGAUCCAGCCAUGCCGCGUGUGUGAAGAAGGUCUUCGGAUUGUAAAGCACUUUAAGUUGGGAGGAAGGGUUGUAGAUUAAUACUCUGCAAUUUUGACGUUACCGACAGAAUAAGCACCGGCUAACUCUGUGCCAGCAGCCGCGGUAAUACAGAGGGUGCAAGCGUUAAUCGGAAUUACUGGGCGUAAAGCGCGCGUAGGUGGUUUGUUAAGUUGGAUGUGAAAUCCCCGGGCUCAACCUGGGAACUGCAUUCAAAACUGACUGACUAGAGUAUGGUAGAGGGUGGUGGAAUUUCCUGUGUAGCGGUGAAAUGCGUAGAUAUAGGAAGGAACACCAGUGGCGAAGGCGACCACCUGGACUAAUACUGACACUGAGGUGCGAAAGCGUGGGGAGCAAACAGGAUUAGAUACCCUGGUAGUCCACGCCGUAAACGAUGUCAACUAGCCGUUGGAAGCCUUGAGCUUUUAGUGGCGCAGCUAACGCAUUAAGUUGACCGCCUGGGGAGUACGGCCGCAAGGUUUAAAACUCAAUGAAUUGACGGGGGCCCGCACAAGCGGUGGAGCAUGU
rnacentral:rRNA from 1 species